rnacentral:rRNA from 1 species
GACGAACGCUGGCGGCGUGCUUAACACAUGCAAGUCGAACGGUGAAAGCGGAGCUUGCUCCGCUGGAUCAGUGGCGAACGGGUGAGUAACACGUGGGCAACCUGCCCCUCACUUCGGGAUAACUCCGGGAAACCGGGGCUAAUACCGGAUACGACCUCCUUGGGCAUCCUUGGAGGUGGAAAGUUUUUCGGUGAGGGAUGGGCCCGCGGCCUAUCAGCUUGUUGGUGAGGUAGUGGCUCACCAAGGCGACGACGGGUAGCCGGCCUGAGAGGGCGACCGGCCACACUGGGACUGAGACACGGCCCAGACUCCUACGGGAGGCAGCAGUGGGGAAUAUUGCGCAAUGGGCGAAAGCCUGACGCAGCAACGCCGCGUGCGGGAUGAAGGCCUUCGGGUUGUAAACCGCUUUCAGCAGGGAAGAAGCCGCAAGGUGACGGUACCUGCAGAAGAAGCACCGGCUAACUACAUGCCAGCCGCCGCAGUAA